GAGGAAUAAGCAUCGGCUAACUCCGUGCCAGCAGCCGCGGUAAUACGGGGGAUGCAAGCGUUAUCCGGAAUCAUUGGGCGUAAAGCGCCUGUAGGUUGUUUAUCAAGUCUGUUGUUAAAGACUAGGGCUUAACCCUAGAAAAGCAAUGGAAACUGAUAGACUAGAGUAUGGCAGGGGUAGAGGGAAUUUCUAGUGUAGCGGUGAAAUGCGUAGAUAUUAGAAAGAACACCGGUGGCGAAAGCGCUCUACUGGACCAUUACUGACACUCAGAGGCGAAAGCUAGGGUAGCAAAAGGGAUUAGAUACCCCUGUAGUCCUAGCCGUAAACGAUGGAUACUAGAUGUUGUGCUUCAUGUACAGUAUCCUAGCUAACGCGUUAAGUAUCCCGCCUGGGGAGUACGCUCGCAAGGGUGAAACUCAAAGGAAUUGACGGGGGCCCGCACAAGCGGUGGAGCAUGUGGUUUAAUUCGAUGCAACGCGAAGAACCUUACCAGGGCUUGACAUACUACAAAUUUUUUGGAAACAGAAAAGUGCCUUCGGGAAUGUAGAUACAGGUGGUGCAUGGCUGUCGUCAGCUCGUGUCGUGAGAUGUUGGGUUAAGUCCCGCAACGAGCGCAACCCUUAUUUUUAGUUACCAAUUCGUUGGGUUCUCUAGAAAGACUGCCGGUGACAAAYCGGAGGAAGGUGAGGAKGACGUCAAGUCAGCAUGCCCCUUAUGUCCUGGGYUACACACGUGCUACAAUGGUUAAGACAAAGAGUSGCUAGCUUGCAAAAGUUUGCUAAUSUCAUAAACUUAGCCUAAGUUCAGAUUGUAGGCUGCAACUCGCCUACAUGAAG
rnacentral:rRNA from 1 species